rnacentral:tRNA from 1 species
CAGGUAUAGUUUAGUGGUAAAAUAAAACCUUGCCAAGGUUUAGUUGUGGGUUCGAUUCCCACUACCUG